rnacentral:rRNA from 1 species
GACGAACGCUGGCGGCGUGCCUAAUACAUGCAAGUCGAACGAGAGCGCCCGGUGCUUGCACUGGUCAAUCUAGUGGCGAACGGGUGAGUAACACGUGGGUAACCUGCCUAUAAGAGGGGGAUAACAUCCGGAAACGGAAGCUAAAACCGCAUAGGUCUUCGAGCCGCAUGGCUCGAAGAGGAAAAGAGGCGCAAGCUUCUGCUGAUGGAUGGACCCGCGGUGCAUUAGCUAGUUGGUGAGGUAACGGCUCACCAAGGCCGUGAUGCAUAGCCGACCUGAGAGGGUGAUCGGCCACAUUGGGACUGAGACACGGCCCAGACUCCUACGGGAGGCAGCAGUAGGGAAUCUUCCGCAAUGGGCGCAAGUCUGACGGAGCAACGCCGCGUGAGUGAAGAAGGUGUUCGGAUCGUAAAACUCUGUUGUUAGAGAAGAACAAGUGCUAGAGUAACUGUUAGCGCCUUGACGGUAUCUAACCAGAAAGCCACGGCUAACUACGUG